rnacentral:rRNA from 1 species
AUUGAACGCUGGCGGCAUGCCUUACACAUGCAAGUCGAACGGCAGCACGGGGGCGAACCCUGGUGGCGAGUGGCGAACGGGUGAGUAACACAUCGGAACGUACCCGGUGGUGGGGAUAGCCCGGCGAAAGCCGGAUUAAUACCGCAUACGACCUACGGGUGAAAGCGGGGGAUCGUAAGACCUCGCGCUAUCGGAGCGGCCGAUGUCAGAUUAGGUUGUUGGUGGGGUAAAGG